rnacentral:misc_RNA from 1 species
AACCCAGAAAAAGAACAAGGAUCAGCGUAAACGUGCGGCGCAGAAAUGCGUAAGUCCCGUCGAAGUUUCCGGCAAGAAAGAGCCCAGCAGAGAUCCAUGGGGACGCGAGAAAGGAACGAGACAAAACGGGAGUCCUCCAGCACCCCCGAUUCAAUCUAGGCGAGGUCGAAGGGUGGAUUCUGGAAGGACCCGGGUUGCUUUGUGUUCGUGUGUCGAACAGUAAGAACGUGUCCAGAGUCGUGGAGGAGACAAGCUGUA